rnacentral:lncRNA from 1 species
UGGAAGGCCUCAGCGGCAGCCAGAGGCGGAGAAAAGGCAGCAAAAGAUUUCGGCCUGAAACCAAUACACUUGACCGCGCCUGGGGAGGGAAGUAAAUCAGCCGUCGCCCAGAAAGAACUCAGAAUAAAGGGGAAAAGAGGAAAAAGAGUUCUUCAGACUGUUCCGCUGCCCAACUUCCUCAGAGACCGGGUGGGUGAGACAGAAGGACUUCCAUCACCCCCUCCCAGACCCCUGCCUCCUCUACCCUCGGCAAGCUCCGGGCCUAGGCAGCCGCCCUGGAGACCUCACUUACCCUCGGCGCCUGGCGGGUGCUUUAGCCUCAGGCCGCCUCCGCCUCUCCCGCUCCCAACGGCCCACGGGCGGGCGCCGGAGCCCCGCGCGGGAGAACGGGGCCGGCUGGUGAGCGAAGAGAGGCAAGGGGCUCCGCCACCGUCCGAACCCGCGACUCCGCUCUCUGUAAAUAGGAAACCCGGUGGAAGGGGGGGAGGAGUGGCGGCACCGCAACUUCCCUCCCCGCCUCGAGCGCCGCCGGCCGGGCCCGGGCCUAGGCCUCCCUGGCUGUCGCCGCCUCUGGAGCUGGUACCGGAGCCCGCUACGUGCCCCCGAUGGGCCGCCGUCGCCUCCUGCGCCGCCGCUUCCGUCGGUGAAUGGUCAGCGCUAGAGUUUGAACAGGGCCCUGAACCAUCUCAACGCCAUUUGCGCUCCCGGCCCCCACCUCCUUCCUCCAACAGCCGCUCGCUCCGUCACUCCGCUUCCCACAGGCCCCGCGCGACCGCCCGACCCCGCAGCCAAUCGCGCGGCUGCUUACUCAAACCGCCGCGCAGGCGCCGCGCCCCGCAUGCUCCGGCGCCCGCCAUUGGUCCGGCCGUGGGGCCCGACGGGAGUUGUAGUCCCUGUCCGAGAGGUCUAGGUGCUGAGAGCCCGGCGCGGGAGCGGGCAGCGGGCGGAGCGGUUGUGGCUGGCCUGGCUGGCCUCGGCUCGCGAGCGAGCGAGUUCCAGCUCCUGGCCCCGCCGGGAGACGCAGGUGCAGCGGGGGAGGACUGGGGGCUCAGUGCAGGCGUCUGUGUCAAUCGUUUCCCCUCCAGGGACUCGCCGGUGUCUGGGGACGGUGGGUUGUGCAGCUGCGCCGGGCCUGCUGGAGUCGCCGCCUGGGAGCCGGGAGACCGGGAGCUUGCGGCUCGGAGCGGCUCUUGA